rnacentral:rRNA from 1 species
UACAGGGGGUGCAAACGUUGCUCGGAAUCAUUGGGCGUAAAGCGCACGUAGGCGGUUCGUUAUGUCGGAUGUGAAAGCCCUUGGCUUAACCGAGGAAGUGCAUCCGAAACUGGCGAGCUAGAGUACGAAAGAGGAUCGCGGAAUUCCCGGUGUAGAGGUGAAAUUCGUAGAUAUCGGGAGGAACACCGGUGGCGAAGGCGGCGAUCUGGGUCGAUACUGACGCUGAGGUGGCGAAAGCGUGGGGAGCAAACAGG